rnacentral:tRNA from 1 species
GACUGUGUGGCCUAAUGGAUAAUGCGUAUGACUUUGGCUCAGAACAGUGAGGGUUUGAGUCCCUUCACACUUG